rnacentral:rRNA from 1 species
AGAACGAACGCUGGCGGCAGGCUUAACACAUGCAAGUCGAACGCGUGUAGCAAUACACGAGUGGCGCACGGGUGAGUAACGCGUGGAUAUCUGCCUUUUGGUUCGGAAUAACCCCGGGAAACUGGGGCUAAUACCGGAUGGUUCCUACGGGAUAAAGAUUUAUCGCCAAAAGAUGAGUCCGCGUCCGAUUAGCUAGUUGGUGGGGUAAUGGCCUACCAAGGCGACGAUCGGUAGCUGGUCUGAGAGGACGAUCAGCCACACUGGGACUGAGACACGGCCCAGACUCCUACGGGAGGCAGCAGUGGGGAAUAUUGGACAAUGGGGGCAACCCUGAUCCAGCCAUGCCGCGUGAGUGAUGAAGGCCUUCGGGUUGUAAACCUCUUUCGGCAGGGACGAAGCGAAAGUGACGGUACCUGCAGAAGAAGCACCGGCUAACUACGUGCCAGCAGCCGC